AACGAACGCUGGCGGCAUGCUUAACACAUGCAAGUCGAACGAGACCUUCGGGUCUAGUGGCGCACGGGUGCGUAACGCGUGGGAAUCUGCCCUUUGCUACGGAAUAACUCAGAGAAAUUUGUGCUAAUACCGUAUAAUGUCGAAAGACCAAAGAUUAAUCGGCAAAGGAUGAGCCCGCGUAGGAUUAGCUAGUUGGUGAGGUAAAGGCUCACCAAGGCGACGAUCCUUAGCUGGUCUGAGAGGAUGAUCAGCCACACUGGGACUGAGACACGGCCGAGACUCCUACGGGAGGCAGCAGUGGGGAAUAUUGGACAAUGGGCGAAAGCCUGAUCCAGCAAUGCCGCGUGAGUGAUGAAGGCCUUAGGGUUGUAAAGCUCUUUUACCAGGGAUGUUAAUGACAGUACCUGGAGAAUAAGCGCCGGCUAACUCCGUGCCAGCCGCCGCCGUAACAC
rnacentral:rRNA from 1 species